AAGACACGUACUCAAUGUCCAGAGAAAAUGUGUCGUCUUCCUAAAUUUGUGUGGUGUAUUGAUGGUUCUUGUGUAUGCGCGUAAGUGUAACAAAUAAGUUGAAAAAUAAAUCGUUAUUUAAAAUAAGUUGAAAAAUAAAUGAGUAGUGAUAUAUGAACAUCCAUUUGAAGACAAUUUUGAUGAUAACUUUGUUUUUCUCACUUUUUAUUGGUCAAAAACAAUGGAGAGAGAAAAAGGAAGAGAGAUGAAAAGAAGAUAAUGUGAGUAUGAGAGAGAGUUGUCAAAAAGUUGUCAUAAAAUGAUUGUAAAAAUAUCAUUUCUCAAAAUAAAUCUAUAUUACUUGUAACUUUACAAUUUUAUUUGUACAUCAUAAUAUUUGUAAUCUUAAAAUCUCCAUCAUACUUUUAUUUGUUUCUUUGACCAGAUCAAAAUUGUAUUGUUAAAUUAUAUAAGUAUGUUACCGUCAUUCAUUCAUUGAAAAUAUGAAAAACAACAUCACUUCAAGUAUAGUUAGCUUUAUUAAUAAAUGAAGACAAUGCACGAUUGUAUUGAUAUAAUAUCUAUUCUAUUUCUAUACUUAGCAUAAAAUUAUUUUUGAUGUAAACUAUGGUGGAACUCAUUUAGUGGUAGGACUCACCGUCCACUACAAAAAAUGUUGCAUUUUGCCAGGG
rnacentral:lncRNA from 1 species